rnacentral:rRNA from 1 species
GACGAACGCUGGCGGCGUGCUUAACACAUGCAAGUCGAACGGAAAGGCCCUGCUUGCAGGGUACUCGAGUGGCGAACGGGUGAGUAACACGUGGGUGAUCUGCCCUGCACUUCGGGAUAAGCCUGGGAAACUGGGUCUAAUACCGGAUAGGAGCCAUUUUUAGUGUGAUGGUUGGAAAGUUUUUCGGUGUAGGAUGAGCUCGCGGCCUAUCAGCUUGUUGGUGGGGUAAUGGCCUACCAAGGCGGCGACGGGUAGCCGGCCUGAGAGGGUGGACGGCCACAUUGGGACUGAGAUACGGCCCAGACUCCUACGGGAGGCGGCAGUGGGGAAUAUUGCACAAUGGGCGCAAGCCUGAUGCAGCGACGCCGCGUGGGGGAUGACGGCCUUCGGGUUGUAAACUCCUUUCGCUAGGGACGAAGCUUUUUGUGACGGUACCUAGAUUAGAAGCACCGGCUAACUACGUGCCAGCCGCCGCGGUAA